AUUGAACGCUGGCGGCAGGCCUAACACAUGCAAGUCGAGCGGAAGAAGGGAGCUUGCUCCUGGAUUCAGCGGCGGACGGGUGAGUAAUGCCUAGGAAUCUGCCUGGUAGUGGGUGAUAACGUCCGGAAACGGGCGCUAAUACCGCAUACGUCCUGAGGGAGAAAGUGGGGGAUCUUCGGACCUCACGCUAUCAGAUGAGCCUAGGUCGGAUUAGCUAGUUGGUGGGGUAAAGGCCUACCAAGGCGACGAUCCGUAACUGGUCUGAGAGGAUGAUCAGUCACACUGGAACUGAGACACGGUCCAGACUCCUACGGGAGGCAGCAGUGGGGAAUAUUGGACAAUGGGCGAAAGCCUGAUCCAGCCAUGCCGCGUGUGUGAAGAAGGUCUUCGGAUUGUAAAGCACUUUAAGUUGGGAGGAAGGGCAGUAAGUUAAUACCUUGCUGUUUUGACGUUACCAACAGAAUAAGCACCGGCUAACUUCGUG
rnacentral:rRNA from 1 species